GAUGAACGCUGGCGGCGUGCCUAAUACAUGCAAGUCGAGCGAACGGACGAGAAGCUUGCUUCUCUGAUGUUAGCGGCGGACGGGUGAGUAACACGUGGAUAACCUACCUAUAAGACUGGGAUAACUUCGGGAAACCGGAGCUAAUACCGGAUGAUAUUUUGAACCGCAGGGGUCAAAAGUGAAAGACGGUCUUGCUGUCACUUAUAGAUGGAUCCGCGCUGCAGUAGCUAGUUGGUAAGGUAACGGCUUACCAAGGCAACGAUGGAUAGCCGACGUGACAGCGGGACGGCCCACUCUGGAGCUGGGCCCCGGUCCAGACUCCUACGGGAGGCAGCGGUAGGGAAGCGUCGGAACAGUGCGAAAUCCUGCCGGAGCAGCGCCACGUGGAUGAUGAGGGUCUGCGUGUCGUAAAACUCUGUUAUUGGUGAAGAACAUAUUUGUAAGGAACGGUGCGCUUCUUGACGGUACCUGAUCAGAAAGCCCCGGCUAACUACGUG
rnacentral:rRNA from 1 species